GAAGUAAAAGUCGUAACAAGGUCUCCGUUGGUGAACCAGCGGAGGGAUCAUUAUAGAGUAUAAAAACUCCUAAACCCCUGUGAACAUACCUAUUGUUGCCUUGGGCCGCCUCCGGGGGACCCGCGAAGGCCCCCUAAACUCUUGUUUUACUUUGCAACUCUGAAUCUAAAAACAAAUAAGUUAA
rnacentral:misc_RNA from 1 species